CCGACAACCGGCGCACGGGUGAGUAACACGUAUGCAACCUGCCCGUCUCAGGGGGAUAAUCGUCGGAAACGGCGUCUAAUACCCCGUAUGAAGCUGGACGGCAUCGUCUGGUUUUGAAAGAAUAUCGGAGACGGAUGGGCAUGCGGCGCAUUAGCUAGUUGGCGGGGUAACGGCCCACCAAGGCGACGAUGCGUAGGGGUUCUGAGAGGAAGGUCCCCCACACUGGUACUGAGACACGGACCAGACUCCUACGGAAGGCAGCAG
rnacentral:rRNA from 1 species